rnacentral:rRNA from 1 species
UUCCGGUUGAUCCUGCCGGACCCGACUGCUAUUUGGGUGAGAAUAAGCCAUGCGAGUUGAAUGGGAUACCUAAAUUUCCCAUAGCGAACUGCUCAGUAACACAUGAUCAACUUACCCUAUAGAGAAACAUAACCUCGGGAAACUGAGGAUAAUAUUUCAUAGUUGAAUAGGCUUGGAAAAGUUUUUCAAUAAAAGAGAUAAAAAAAAUGGUUUUUAUCUGCUAUAGGAUAGGAUCGUGGACGAUUAUGGUUGUUGGUGAGGUAACGGCUCACCAAGCCGAUAAUCGAUAGGGGCCGUGAGUGCGGGAGCCCCGAGAUGGGUACUGAGACAACGACCCAGGCCUUACGAGGCGCAGCAGGCGCGAAACCUCCGCAAUACACGAAAGUGUGACGGGGUUACCCAAAGUGUUCUAUUUAGAACUGUGGUAGGUGAGUAAUGUCCCCUACUAGAAAGGAGAGGGCAAGGCUGGUGCCAGCCGCCGCGGUAAAACCAGCUCUUCAAGUGGUCGGGAUAAUUAUUGGGCUUAAAGUGUCCGUAGCCGGUUUAGUAAGUUCCUGGUAAAAUCGGGUAGCUUAACUAUCUAUAUGCUAGGAAUACUGCUAUACUAGAGGGCGGGAGAGGUCUGAGGUACUACAGGGGUAGGGGUGAAAUCUUAUAAUCCUUGUAGGACCACCAGUGGCGAAGGCGUCAGACUGGAACGCGCCUGACGGUGAGGGACGAAAGCCAGGGGAGCGAACCGGAUUAGAUACCCGGGUAGUCCCAGCUGUAAACGAUGCACGCUAGGUGUUGGCGCGGCUACGUGCCGCUCCAGUGCCGCAGGGAAGCCGUUAAGCCUGCCGCCUGGGAAGUACGGGCCGCAAGGCUGAAACUUAAAGGAAUUGGCGGGGGAGCACCACAAGGUGUGAAGCUUGCGGUUUAAUUGGAAUCAACGCCGGUAAUC